CCGAAAAAAAAAAUAAAGAACUAGGGAUUCAGAGUUCUUUUUCGUCCCAAAACAAGCUUUAACGAGUGUGGAAAGAGAGAGACCCGAAUCUUUCAUCUAUCGAUUUCAACCGUGUUGAUGGCAGUAAUUUGAGGAAAGAAAGCUUGAUUUCUUAAACUCGUCUUUCUCAGAUUGGGCUCCCGACGGUGUCGAUCAUUCCGUAACCGACCAGCGAAGUGGUUAGGGUUUUCAACUAGCGACCAAAAUUGAAGUUGAAGAGAGCCACCAUGGACGACGUCUCUCUCUCCAUCUAGGCUCUUUACAGUUACUCCGAGGAAGAAAAGAAGUAGCCUUGGUGGGUGUUGUCGUAUUUAUUGGCCUGAACUAGCUUUUCUUACAAGAAGGGAGAACCAACCCCUUCAUUAAGUGCUAGGUCAUUCUCAUUAGAAGAGCAAAGGAGUAAGAAUUGAAGAGGGAAAAAGAUAGAUAAAUUUCAGCAUGCAUGGUCCCGCAGAAUCCUCUAAAGUGGGCGCAAAAAGAGGACUAAGAGAGAGGAAUUGUAUUGUGGCUGCAUUAAGGACUUCGGGAAAUGAGGGAAUUACUAUAUCAGAUUGAGAUUCAAACUCUCCCCAUACACAGUUAGGUGGACAAUCUUGAGGUUCUAGCGGGGUUCCAAUCGAUCAUGAUAGUGGAAGCACCUCGGCAAAUGAUGCUUCAAUAACUCCCUCUACUCACAAGGGUCAUCGUAAGGGUAGAGGUCCAUCAAUAUUAGCAAAUGCAGUAGUAAACGAUAACGAGUCACCACUUCCGAUUGAAUUCAAUGAAAGAGGGCAACCAAUUGGUGAGAAUAGUAAAACAAUUUCUACUGGCAUCGGAAUAAUAGCAUGAGAGAAUGUUCUAAUUAGCUCAAAAAAGUGGAAAGAGGCUUCAGCUGAGAAAGAACGACUCAUAUGGACAUCUAUAAAGCAAAAAUUUGAAGUCCCUGAUUUUCAUAAAAAGGAUGCUUUUAGAAGAAUGGGAAAGAGUUGGGGUGAUUAUAGAACACGCCUUACAACCGAUAUAUAUAAGUCAAAUGUAGAUACAGAGGCUAUUGAUUCAUUAAAGCCUGACAGUGUACAAUCAAUCGAAGAGUGGCAACAGUUUGUGACUAAUCGACUUUCUGAUGACUACAAAAGAAAAAAAAGUGAUGCACCUGACUUUAUAACAAGAGUUGAUGUAUGGAUCGAAGGUCACAUGAGGAAGGGUGGGAAACCUUUGAACGAUGUGACAGAAGAAGCAGUGAAACAAAUGAAAGAGUACACCAAAACCCAACCCAAAGGCACAAGCUCUCUUCGAGAUGAUGGAGUCACUCAUGUACUUGGUCCGGAACGUAAAGGCCGAGUUAGAGGCCUUGGUUUUGGAGCAACAAUCUCCAAAAUUGAGGCAAAUGGUUUUCAAAGGGUGCAAGCAAAAAGAGUAGAAGAAAUAGUUAAAGAAAGGGUAGAACAAAUCAAACAUGAAAUGAAAAUGAAAUAAUGAAUGAGAUGAAAGCCUUGUUGUCCCAAAAUGCUAGCACUGGUUCUUAGUCUAAUGCUAUACCAAGUCCUAUUAUAGAAGAUCUACAAGGUUUAAAAUGUGAGUUGUUACACUGGAAUGGGUCAGGUGUAGUUGUUGCCGAGGCUGAGAUUGCAGCAACGGAUCCCAAUGCAUUAGAAGAUCAUUUUCCAAUUGGUCCAGAUUAUUGGAAAGUAUGGAUUGAUGAUAUCUUGGUCGAAGACUGUCCUUUGUAUUGAGCAAGCUUAAAUGGAAAUUUUUAUCUUCGUGAUGUUAACAUAAGCUCGGUUGUAUGGCCUAAGAAAUAUGUGAAAAUUAUACAG